ACCUGAUAUUGCGAGCGAUAAGUCGAACGGACAUGCGACGGCUACGACCACGAGCGCCGAAACUCAAUAGUCAGAUAAACAUAUCGAUCGACAAUUCUCAGAAGAAUUGUUGUUAAAAAUCUUUCUUCUCAGAAGUCCUUCACUGAAUCAUUCUAAGAAUCUUCCAGAGCGCGACGCGUGUGCUGCGCACGGCCCGAAGACCCUUUGUUUCGACAGUAUAUAAGCCGGCGAUUUCGAACCUUCGGGGCAUCAAAUCGGGCAGUCAAAUCGGGCAGUCAAAUCGGAACAGUCAAAUCGGGCAGUCAAAUCGGAGCAGUCAGUUCGAGCAUUCAGUUCGGGGCAUUACAUUCAGUCAAUUCAGCAUUACGUUCAUUGCAGUCAAUUCAGAGCUCUUCAAACAUUCGAAUCAUUUAUUCUUAGCUAACAUUAUUCAUUAUUAAUUCCUUACUAUUUCGUAUAAGUAUUCGCUCCGUAUUAUUCGUUCAUUGUUCGCGUACUAUUCACUAUUCCAUUUCGAUUAAUAUAAUUGUCGAUUCAGUAUUAAGUUGUGUAAAACUAAGGAAAUAAUAAAAAACUUUGUGCAUA